rnacentral:rRNA from 1 species
UGGGGAAUAUUGCACAAUGGGCGCAAGCCUGAUGCAGCCAUGCCGCGUGUGUGAAGAAGGCCUUCGGGUUGUAAAGCACUUUCAGCGGGGUGGAAGGCGUUAAGGUUAAUAACCUUGGCGAUUGACGUUACCCGCAGAAGAAGCACCGGCUAACUCCGUGCCAGCAGCCGCGGUAAUACGGAGGGUGCAAGCGUUAAUCGGAAUUACUGGGCGUAAAGCGCACGCAGGCGGUCUGUCAAGUCGGAGGUGAAAUCCCCGGGCUCAACCUGGGAACUGCAUUCGAAACUGGCAGGCUAGAGUCUUGUAGAGGGGGGUAGAAUUCCAGGUGUAGCGGUGAAAUGCGUAGAGAUCUGGAGGAAUACCGGUGGCGAAGGCGGCCCCCUGGACAAAGACUGACGCUCAGGUGCGAAAGCGUGGGGAGCAAACAGG